rnacentral:tRNA from 1 species
GGGCCUGUAGCUCAGCUGGUUAGAGCGCACGCCUGAUAAGCGUGAGGUCCCAAGUUCAAAUCUUGGCAGGCCCA